UCGGGAAUAUUGGACAAUGGGCGAAAGCCUGAUCCAGCCAUGCCGCGUGAGUGACGACGGCCUUAGGGUUGUAAAGCUCUUUUGGCGGGGACGAUAAUGACGGUACCCGCAGAAUAAGCCCCGGCUAACUUCGUGCCAGCAGCCGCGGUAAUACGAAGGGGGCUAGCGUUGUUCGGAAUCACUGGGCGUAAAGCGCACGUAGGCGGACUGGUCAGUUGGGGGUGAAAUCCCGGGGCUCAACCUCGGAACUGCCUCCAAUACUGUCAGUCUCGAGUCCGGAAGAGGUGAGUGGAAUUCCUAGUGUAGAGGUGAAAUUCGUAGAUAUUAGGAAGAACACCAGUGGCGAAGGCGGCUCACUGGUCCGGUACUGACGCUGAGGUGCGAAAGCGUGGGGAGCAAACAGGAUUAGAUACCCCCGUAGUCC
rnacentral:rRNA from 1 species